GACGAACGCUGGCGGCGUGCUUAACACAUGCAAGUCGAACGGAAAGGCCCUGCUUUUGUGGGGUGCUCGAGUGGCGAACGGGUGAGUAACACGUGAGUAACCUGCCCUUGACUUUGGGAUAACUUCAGGAAACUGGGGCUAAUACCGGAUAGGAGCUCCUGCUGCAUGGUGGGGGUUGGAAAGUUUCGGCGGUUGGGGAUGGACUCGCGGCUUAUCAGCUUGUUGGUGGGGUAGUGGCUUACCAAGGCUUUGACGGGUAGCCGGCCUGAGAGGGUGACCGGCCACAUUGGGACUGAGAUACGGCCCAGACGCCUACGGGAGGCAGCAGUGGGGAAUAUGGCACAAUGGGCGGAAGCCUGAUGCAGAAACGCCGCGUGCGGGAUGACGGCCUUCGGGUUGUAAACCGCUUUCGCCUGUGACGAAGCGUGAGUGACGGUAAUGGGUAAAGAAGCACCGGCUAACUACGUG
rnacentral:rRNA from 1 species